rnacentral:rRNA from 1 species
UACGUAGGGAGCAAGCGUUGUCCGGAAUCAUUGGGCGUAAAGCGCGCGUAGGCGGCCUCGUAAGUCCGUUGUGAAAGUCAAAGGCUCAACCUUUGAAAGCCGAUGGAUACUGUGAGGCUAGAGUCCGGAAGAGGCGAGUGGAAUUCCUGGUGUAGCGGUGGAAUGCGCAGAUAUCAGGAGGAACACCAAUAGCGAAGGCGGCACUCUGGGACGGUACUGACGCUGAGACGCGAAAGCGUGGGGAGCGAACAGG